CUUUGAAAGAAGAGGAGGAAGAGAGACAAAGGUAACGGUCCCACAAGACGAGAAUACCUGCCUUGCACGUGCAGAAGGUUGCAAGAGACGGGGUGGAAGGAGGAAGUGCGGACAUAACUGCAGGGCCAAGCGGGGUCCAGCUACAAACCACAAGGACAUGUAUCCUGCAGGACCCACAGUUACAUGACUUUCCCAUGGAGCAGAGUAUCAUCCACAUGGAAUGUCCUGACGAAGUUUAUAUAUCACACACCUUAAGCAGAGUCUUGGGCUGAUGGUCGGAGACAUGCUCCCUGAGCCCGGGCUGACAGCCAUGUGGGCCUCCGCACGCGGACUGAUGAUAAGCUUU